GGGCACCUAAGAAGAUAAUUAAUCUGCUAGUAAUACUAAGCAGUAGAGAUGUGAUAACCAAAUAAUAAGUAGAUCGAUACCCUGCAAUAAUACACUAUGCUGUGCCUUCAAGGGCACCUGUCAAGAAACAAAAAGCUAUCUAUCACUGUGUACCGAUAACAGGAUAAAGUAUAAGAUAAUGAGCUGAAGAAGAAAGGUCUAAAUCUAUGCGGUAAAUCACAC